UUUUUUUGCAAAGAUUUAAAGAGAAUGUGUUUGGAUUAUGUGGGGUCCUCAUUAUCGCAUAGCAAUAAAUCCUAUUUACGAUGGUUUUUAAGUACCUGGGACCCAGUCCUGCACUUCUUAUUCAGUCAAUACUCCCUGCACUUCAGGGAAGGAUGGUUUGAGUGAUUAUUUGGGGACUGGAGGAGGGCGGGAAGAGAAGAAGGGGGAUAACAAAAUUUGGAUAUUUAUGCCACGCUGUGGACAAGGCAGAUCGCAAAGCUCAGCGGGAAGUGGGGGAGCGCAGGGAUGAAGCCAGCUGUGAUUGAGAAGUUCGGCCUAAGGAGCUGCCUUCCCGAGGAGAUAAAGUGCAUCUGGCCUGGGGGAAAAGGCCUUUCCAGCAUGGGACUGGCUCCCCCUCGCACCCGGCCCCAAGGAAGGAAACUAGCGACAUCCUCCAGUUGUUGAACAUUAUACAGCACUCUUGAAAACUCUGAGCAAAGAGGAACUUCCUAAAGACUUUGAGCCUGGGCCUUACUAUUCACAACUGCUAUUUGAAACCUAUUAUCAUUUAGCUGUAGCUUUCCAAAGACAGAAUCACCAUAAGGAAGCAGUUCAAGAGCUUAAUAAAGCAAUAGACGUUGCAUCUAUCCCUAAGAUUGCUUGUCAAGUUGGAUGUGUUUCCAGAACUUUCCUUCAUACACCACUAUUUGCGAGAAGAGCGUAUGCAUAUGUAAAAUGUGGUCGUUUGAAAGAAGCAAUAGAUGAUGCUAACAAGGCUGUUGAGUUAGACCCUUUGAACCCUGAUGUAUAUUGUGUUCGAGCUCUUGUUUGGAACACAGUGAAAGAAAAGAAGAGAGCGCUUUUUGAUUUAAACUGUAGCCAGAAGCUAAAGCCUUCUCAUAUUUCCACUUUGAUCAUAAAGGGAAUUAUUAAAAAUUCUCUUAUGGCAACAGAGGGUACAAAGUCUUUAGUGAAGAAUAAAGAUCAUGAAAAGGUAAAUGACAUCUGAUUUAACUUAUCUGUCUCAUAUGGUGUUUAAAAAAGAAGACUGUGGCUGAGACAGGGGACCGAAAUCAGCCGUGGUGUAAGCGGAUGCAGCUCUUUUAUUGCUGUCAAUGCUAAUUCUAAGGCUGAAUUUGGUAGUUUUGGUUACAGAUUUUGCACUUGAUCUGACCUUUCUGUG
rnacentral:lncRNA from 1 species